rnacentral:rRNA from 1 species
UACGUAGGGUGCAAGCGUUAAUCGGAAUUACUGGGCGUAAAGCGUGCGCAGGCGGUUUUGUAAGUUUGUCGUGAAAGCCCCGGGCUCAACCUGGGAAUUGCGAUGAAGACUGCAAGGCUUGAAUCUGGCAGAGGGGGGUAGAAUUCCACGUGUAGCAGUGAAAUGCGUAGAGAUGUGGAGGAACACCGAUGGCGAAGGCAGGUCUCUGGGCUGAUACUGACGCUCAUGCACGAAAGCGUGGGGAGCAAACAGG